rnacentral:misc_RNA from 1 species
GGUUUUCUUGCUUCAUUGACUUCUUGAACUUGCCUAUGUAUUUGGCAUUUCUGUAGUAUUCUCUUUGCUUUUUGAUGAGGGAAGGAUUGUAGCCGGAGGUUCGGGACUUGGCGUUGGCGAAGGCCUCCAGCGAGAGUCCCUUCCCUCCGAGCCGCUUCUGGUUCUUCUUCUUGUUCCUAUUUUGGCUCGUCCUCUGGAAUCCAUCGUCGCCGGAGCCCGCGCCGGCGCCGCGAAAGGGGCGAUUCUUCAUCUCCG